rnacentral:rRNA from 1 species
AUGUUGGCGGGCUGCUCCUCCUUGUCGUCCAGGCAUCAGAUGAGCACGGCGCAGCGACUACCAUGCGGCUUCUCCAAGCGGGCCGGCCGCGGCGACUCGGCGGUCCCCGGCGCCGCCCCGGGCGCCGACGGCAGGGGAGGCAACGGCACCUGCUCCUUCCGGCCGCACCCGGCGCCGCCGGUCACCCAGGCCGUCUCCUGGGGCGCCAAGCCGGAGCCCUCCGUCGGCGGCGACUGGGAGAGGCGGGGCGGGGCCGUCAAGCGCGCGCACGAGGAGGCGGCCGCGGAGGAGGAGUACGGCGCCCCCGCCGCCCGCGCCAAGCGGACGCGGAUGGGCGGCGACGGCGACGAGGUAUGGUUCCAUCAAUCCAUUGCAGGGCCGGCGGCCUUGAUGCAGGUGGCCGCCGGGGAGGGGGGAGGGGAGGAGGAGGAGGUGGCGGAGGAGCAGAAGGUGUUUCUUGUGCCGAGCGCCGCGGCCUUCCCGCACGGCAUGGCGGCCGCCGCGGGGCCCUCGUCGCUGGCCGCGGCCAAGCAGGAGGAGUUCAGCAAGUCGCCGUCCCACUCCUCGUCCUCGUCGGGCACGGACGGCGGCUCGUCGGCCGUGCUGCCCGUUGAGCCUGCUGGCGUGAGGGGCUUCGUGGUGCCCGAGGCGGAGCGAGAGGCGCUGGAGCUGGUGGGCGCGCUCACCGCCUGCGCCGAGGCCCUCGCCGGCUGCCAGCACGACGCCGCCAACUACUACCUGGCGCGGCUCGGCGAGACGGCCUCGCCGUCCGGGCCCACGCCGCUGCACCGCGUCGCCGCCUGCUUCGCCGAGGCGCUCGCGCUCCGCGCGGCCAACAUGUGGCCGCACGUCUUCGACGUCACCCCGCCGCGCGAGCUCACCGACGGCGCCUUCCACGACGACGACGACGCCCUGGCGCUGCGCGUGCUCAACAGCGUCACCCCGAUCCCGAGGUUCCUCCACUUCACGCUCAACGAGCGCCUCCUCCGCGCCUUCGACGGCCACGACCGCGUCCACAUCAUCGACUUCGACAUCAAGCAAGGCCUCCAGUGGCCGAGCCUCCUGCAGAGCCUGGCGGCGCGGACGCCGCAGCCGCCGGCGCACGUGCGGAUCACCGGCGUCGGCUCGUCCAGGCAGGAGCUGCAGGACACCGGCGCGCGCCUCGCGCACGUGGCCGCCGGGCUGGGGCUCGCCUUCGAGUUCCACGCCGUGGUGGACCGCCUCGAGGACGUGCGCCUCUGGAUGCUCCACGUCAAGCGCGGCGAGCGCGUCGCCGUGAACUGCGUCCUCGCCGCGCACCGCCUGCUCCGCGACGAGACCGGUGGCGCGCUGUCCGACUUCCUGGGGCUCGUGCGCAGCACGGGCGCCGCCGUCCUGCUCCUCGGCGAGCACGAGGCGGCGGGGCUGAACGCCGGGCGGUGGGAGGCGCGGUUCGCGCGCGCGCUGCAGCACUACGCCGCGGCGUUCGACGCGGUGGGCGCGGCCGGCCUGCCGCCGGCCAGCGCGGCCAGGGCCAAGGCGGAGGAGAUGUUCGCGCGGGAGAUCCGCAACGCGGUGGCGUUCGAGGGCUCCGACAGGUCGGAGCGGCACGAGAGCUUCGCGGGGUGGCGGCGGCGCAUGGAGGACGGCGGGUUCCGGAGCGCCGGCAUCGGCCACCGGGAGGCGAUGCAGGGGCGGAUGAUCGCGAGGAUGUUCGCGCCGGGCAAGUACGGCGUGCACCCGCAGGGCGACGGCGAGGGGCUCACGCUCCGGUGGCUCGACACCCCGCUCUACACCGUGACGGCGUGGGCGCCGGCCGGCGACGGCGCAGGAGGCAGCGCGACCGUGUCCGCGUCCACCACCGCCUCGCACUCUCUGCAGAGCUGA